AUAUUUAACUGGUGCCAGGGACUUGUUGAUCACCGAGGACGAGCCCCCAGGACAAGGCACGGGCAUUGCACAACGCUCGCGUUGAUCCCUGCCACUACACCAACUGGAUCAGAUUGGGCAUGCAAAUUGCUUAACUCCGGUUCAACGUAAUAGAGGGCACCCCGGU
rnacentral:snRNA from 1 species